AGGAAUUGGCGGGGGAGCACUACAACGGGUGCGGCGUGCGGUUUAAUCCUAUUCAACACGGAGAAUCUCACCAGAAGCGACGGCAGGAUGAAGGUCAGGCUAAAGACCUUACUUGACGAGCCGAGAGGUAGUGCAUGGCCGUCGUCAGCUCGUGCCGUAAGGUGUCCUGUUAAGUCAGGCAACGAGCGAGACCCACGUUUACAAUUGGCAGCAGGUCCUCCGGGAUGACUGGUCACAUUGUAGAGACUGCCUGUGAAAACAGGAGGAAGGUGUGGGCAACGGUAGGUCUGUAUGCUCCGAAUCUUCUGGGCUACACGCGCGCAACAAUGAUUCAGACAAUGGGAUGCUACUCCGAAAGGAGACGCUAAUCCUCUAAACUGAAUCUUAGUUCAGAUUGAGGGUUGUAACUCACCCUCAUGACGAUGAAUCC
rnacentral:rRNA from 1 species